AGGGUUGGCCACCUUGAGAAGCUGCGAAGAUGGCGGAGUAAGGCGUGCCGCUGCAAACUGGCCUCUGGGCCGGGGGCGAGCAGCCCCCGGGAGGCCGAGUGCAUCUGUUGGACCGUGCGAGGUGAGCCGAGAAGGCCAGUGACGGUGGGACGAGCAGGCGCCGAGGAGGUGGCGUGGCCCAGACGGGCCGGGUACGGAAGCGCGCAGGAACCUGCGAGUUGCGGGCAGCCGGCCUCGGCCUCGGCUGGGCGGGGGUUCCAACCUCGGCGGCUCCAGGGCAGCCGUCACCCGCCUUCUGGGAGAAGAAAAAAAAUAUCGGCCAGAGGAGAGGAACUAACCGAACAUUCUUCCUCCCUACCUUAUAGAGGGGAGUGGUCAUCUACACUAAAGCAAAGUGUUAGGCGCGUCCGUGCGAAGAGACCACCAAACAGGCUUUGUGUUCCUUAUCACAGGAAGAAAAUUUUCCUUGACCUUUAGGUGCUUUUAUAUUCAUCUCAAAAACAAAAUUCUGAACUCAGGACUUGGCAAGUGUCUCUAUGUUGUCUCCUAGAGUGGGUAGUCCUGCUUCUUUUACCCAGUUACUUUCCCGUUUUUGAAAUGUGGCUAUCACUUCUCUACACAUUACCUCCAUGAUUUGGAAUGGAAAAGGCCACUUUUCUUUUUGUUCUGCCUCUCAAAUUCAACACAGAGGAGCUCCUAGGAUUCCAGUUAUCCUGCUAACAUCUCCAGGAAGAAAGAAGCAACUCACAUGGGUCUUUUGCUGUUUGCUUAAUUAUAAAGACAUCAUUUUGCAAGCAGAAGGCUGAGUUUCAUUUGAAACAGGUGCUUAGGUGGUGGUAUUUGUGAAUACUUUUCAUUCCAAGCAAGAAGACUAAAGAAGUAGCAAGUAUGAAUGACUUCAGGGUUUAAAAAAAAUGUCUUCCAGUUUCAGCCACUACCAUGAUAAGCACAGUUGAGACUGCAGCAGUAAAUUCCAAAUAUGUGUUUCUAAUUUGACGUGAAAGAUACUAAAAAUUUAUAUUUGUAUAUUUAAAUCCUGGCUCAUCCUGUGACAUAGAUUUACUGAAUAGGAACAAAGGCCCAAUUUUAAACAAAAACCUAGGCCGGGUGUGGUGGCUCACACCUGUAAUCCCAACACUUUGGGAGGCCAAGGCAGGCAAAUCACCUGAGGUUGGGAGUUUGAGACCAGCCUGACCAACAUGGAGAAACCCCAUCUCUACUAAAAAUAGAAAAUUAGCCAGGUGUGGUGGUAGAUACGUGUAAUCCCAG
rnacentral:lncRNA from 10 species